rnacentral:lncRNA from 1 species
AAAAGCCUUGAGCGGUUGAGAGACAGUGUUCCUCUUCAUGUUAGUGCCACUUCCUCAGUAGGCAGCUAGCAUUCCGGUGCAGCAGCGCGGGCUUGAACGCGUCCCGGGCUGGGAUGCUGUGGGUGUUCGAGUGCGAGCCGCGCGUCCAUCCAACUCCAGAAGAUGCUAGCUUGAUCCUAGCGGUCAGAUUUUGCGAUAGAGGACUAGCAGGUCAUACCUUCACUUGAAAUGAAAGCACGAGGUUGGCAUAUGUUCAGGUCAGGUCCGUCUGAUGCCGGCCAGCUUUCGUAAUGCUGUUUUUUUUGUUUUUUUUUAAACACAAAUGAGAUCCGUGAUUCUGGAGCGGAGAUUUUUGGAAGGGACCGCGGGCUAGCAAGCCGGGCAGUCGGCUAUCGAUGUCCUGUAACUAGGGGCUGAGGGAGCUGAUGUUUGAGCUGGCUGACUCCAAACACACACGGCCCGGUCCGUAGAGCUUGCAUUCAGUUUCUUCAACAUCUGUUUUAGCCUAUUAUUAUCCACCAUUAUUUCUGGCUAGCCGUAUUCCUUGAAAAUCCCUGGCGGCCUCAAGUCCCCUGCAUCGCCUCUACAGAAGUGUCACGCUACAUGAACUAACACGGGAGCACUUCCGUUGCCCACACUGGUCAAACUGGAAAACCACUUGUUUUUGCUGUCUGUUCUGUCAGAGACCACUUUUUCCUCACGCCCCUUCACUUCCUGUCUUGGUUGUCUUAAAAAGCACCGAUCCCGAUGCUGACGAACAGAUCGACACACGCGCCAUGAACACAGAAGACAAAGGUGAGUCGAUACUGAUUUGCUCAUUUUGAAAUAUUCUCAAACUUUAUCCACACAGAAUCUUUUCGGGUUUUCAAACAUAAUCAUCAUAUGAAAUGUUAAUAUCAAUAUUAACACAUUUUCUUAAAUUGUCACUGAGAUUGAGCAUUUAAAUGUCUGCUCUAUCUUGUGACAACAUAUCUCAGUUUAAUCUCGCUCUAUCUUUCAGAAAAAGUGAUGCAAAAUUUGCAGAAACCACACACUCCUGUUACUGCUAUAAGCCUCUGUAGGGCAGAAUAGCUGGGCCAUCAUUGGAAGUAUUAAUUUGUUUUACAUUGUUCUAAUCAUAAUAUUCCGAGCUGUGUGGCGGCG